rnacentral:rRNA from 1 species
UGAAAUCUUUCGGCUUAACCGGAAAACUGCCAUUGAUACUGCAGUUCUUGAGUAUGCUCGAGGUAUGCGGAAUAUGUCAUGUAGCGGUGAAAUGCAUAGAUAUGGCAUAGAACGCCAAUAGCGAAGGCAGCUUACCAGAUCAUAACUGACACUGAGGGACGAAAGCGUGGGGAGCGAACAGGAUUAGAUACCCUGGUAGUCCACGCCGUAAACGAUGAUCACUAGACAUUGGCGACAUACUGUCGGUGUCAAAGCGAAAGUAUUAAGUGAUCCACCUGGGGAGUACGCCGGCAACGGUGAAACUCAAAGGAAUUGACGGGGGCCCGCACAAGCGGUGGAGCAUGUGGUUUAAUUCGAUGAUACGCGAGGAACCUUACCUGGGCUUAAAUGCAGAACGACCUCCCGAGAAAUCGGGAUUUCUUCGGACGGACUGCAAGGUGCUGCAUGGUUGUCGUCAGCUCGUGCCGUGAGGUGUCGGGUUAAGUCCCAUAACGAGCGCAACCCCUAUCGUUAGUUGCCAGCGGAUAAUGCCGGGGACUCUAACGAAACUGCCCGUGCAAGCGGAGAGGAAGGUGGGGAUGACGUCAAAUCAUCACGGCCCUUACGUCCAGGGCUACACACGUGCUACAAUGGCGCAUACAAAGGGCAGCUACCACGCGAGUGGAUGCUAAUCUCUAAAGUGCGUCUCAGUUCGGAUUGAAGUCUGCAACUCGACUUCAUGAAGCUGGAAUCGCUAGUAAUCGCGCAUCAGCCAUGGCGCGGUGAAUACGUUCCCGGGCCUGUACACACCGCCCGUCAAGCCAUGGAAGCUGGGGGUGCCUGAAGUCGGUGACCGCAAGGAGCCGCCU